CCCUGUCCCACCAAGAGCAGACGGAGCAGUGAGAAGUUCACAGCUAGGAGCCGUUCACCUUGUUCCUGUGUAGAGCGGUGAAGCCUGCGUCCUGAGAAUUAAGGGAGCCUGGGAGUGAAGAGGGGGACACCGGGGAGGUUCUGUAUGAGGAGGGCAUGAGAGUCAACGGGUGGCUUUUGUGGCACCGCCAACAUGCCGAAGAGGAGACGGGGUUCACUCUCAAACAUGGGCUAAAGGAAAGAAACAAUGGGCUCAUGAGUUUGCUGCAGCCACAGAGGAUGAGCUGAACUUCUUACCCAUCUAUAAGACCCUGCUGAGUGAUGAGGCGCUGAGACUCGUCCCGGGACAGUUUUCCAUGGAACCAUGACUGAGCCAAAUGUAGAGCUGA